GCGUGGCGUGGCGUGGCGUGGCGUGGCGUGGCGUGGCGGCGCCUGGACAGGAGGCAGCUUGGAGUUUGGAGAGUUUGAACUGGAAUAUCCCCACAAAUGUCCUCCGACCGAGCUUUUUAACACGGCAUAGAGGAACCUAACAGCAAGAAAGGAGAUGAAAAAUGGAUGAAAAACAGAAAUUAAAAAUGUCUCUCACAGUCUGAUUCGAGGGUAAACAGUCUCACAUUGUGUGUGUGUGUGUGUGUGUCUCAGAGACGCCCCUGUCCCUGGCGGUGCAGUGUGAGCCGGGUGGAGGCGAGCCCAUCCGGGUCCUGGUGGACGGCGGCGCUCACAUCGACUUUCGUGCCAAAGACGGACUCACGCCGCUACACAAGGCCGUCCGCGGCCACCGCCAUACGGCUCUGCUGGUCCUGCUCUCUCUGGGUGCGUCUCCGGACUACAAGGACCGCCGGGGCCUGACGCCGCUCUACCACACUGUGCUGACAGGGGGCGACACCUCCUGCUGCGAAACGCUGCUGUACCACCGCGCCAAGCUGGGCAUCAGGGACGAGAACGGCUGGGACGAGACGCACCAGCCAUGACACACCGCACCUCUCACCCUUCAUCCCCCCAUCCUGCUUCAGCGGAGAGGACAGGCCAGAGGAGGAGCAACAGGUAUCAGCUGAUUCAUCUGUCACUGAUCUCACACACACACACACACACACACACACACACACACACACACACACACACACACACACACACACAUGCUCCCAU
rnacentral:lncRNA from 1 species